GGCGGGGUGGUCUAGUGGUAAAGACCUUAGCCGCUUAAGCUGAAGACCCGGGUUCGAUUCCCGGCUCGACCA
rnacentral:tRNA from 1 species